rnacentral:rRNA from 1 species
AACGAACGCUGGCGGCAGGCUUAACACAUGCAAGUCGAACGCCCCGCAAGGGGAGUGGCAGACGGGUGAGUAACGCGUGGGAACAUACCCUUUCCUGCGGAAUAGCUCUGGGAAACUGGAAUUAAUACCGCAUACGCCCUACGGGGGAAAGAUUUAUCGGGGAAGGAUUGGCCCGCGUUGGAUUAGCUAGUUGGUGGGGUAAAGGCCUACCAAGGCGACGAUCCAUAGCUGGUCUGAGAGGAUGAUCAGCCACAUUGGGACUGAGACACGGCCCAAACUCCUACGGGAGGCAGCAGUGGGAAAUAUUGGACAAUGGGCGCAAGCCUGAUCCAGCCAUGCCGCGUGAGUGAUGAAGGCCUUAGGGUUGUAAAGCUCUUUCACCGAUGAAGAUAAUGACGGUAGUCGGAGAAGAAGCCCCGGCUAACUUCGUGCCAGCAGCCGCAGUAAGAC